rnacentral:rRNA from 1 species
UACGUAGGGUGCAGGCGUUGUCCGGAAUUAUUGGGCGUAAAGAGCUCGUAGGCGGUCUGUCGCGUCGGCUGUGAAAUCCCGAGGCUCAACCUCGGGUCUGCAGUCGAUACGGGCAAACUAGAGUAUUGCAGGGGAGACUGGAAUUCCUGGUGUAGCGGUGAAAUGCGCAGAUAUCAGGAGGAACACCGGUGGCGAAGGCGGGUCUCUGGGCAGUAACUGACGCUGAGGAGCGAAAGCGUGGGGAGCGAACAGG